rnacentral:rRNA from 1 species
GACGAACGCUGGCGGCGUGCUUAACACAUGCAAGUCGAACGGAAAGGCCUUUUCGGAGGUACUCGAGUGGCGAACGGGUGAGUAACACGUUGGUGAUCUGCCCUGCACGCUGGGAUAGGCCUGGGAAACUGGGUCUAAUACCGGAUAGGACCGCACUUUAGUGUGGGUGGUGGAAAGUCUUUUCGGUGUAGGAUGAGCCCGCGGCCUAUUAGCUGGGUGGUGGGGUAAGGGCCUACCAAGGCGGCGACGGGGAGCCGGACUUAGAGGUUGGUCGGCCACAUUGGAACUGAGAUACGGCCCAGACUCCUACGGGAGGCAGCAGUGGGGAAUAUUGCACAAUGGGCGCAAGCCUGAUGCAGCGACGCCACGUGGGGGAUGACGGCCUUCGGGUUGUAAACUCCUUUCGCCAGGGACGAAGCGUUUUGUGACGGCACCUGGAGAAGAAGCACCGGCUAACUACGUGCCAGCCGCCGCAGUAAUAC